GCGAGAGAGAGACAGGGAGAGAGACAUUUACAGAGACACAGAGACAGAGGGAGAGGGAAGAGGCUGGUGGUCAACAGUUUCCCAGUGUGAAGUGACCCGCACAAUGGGAGAGCCCUGCAGCACUCGUGGACGGACUCCUGCUGAUGUCAACACCCGAGUGCACUCGCUGGAGACGAGAGUGGAUGGAGGAGCUCCGCUGACGGCUCGCUGCGUGCGCUUCCAGCUGUUGGCAUAGGACCACGCCACCUCGGGGGGGCUUUCAAUGUGAGGCUGGUUCCUUCGACCACCAUCACUGAGGCGGCCUUGGAAAGUUUUGAGCGUCCGCAAUGCCAGAUUGACACUAAAUGGAAGAGCCACACCAAAGACCAGCCGGGAUCCCGCUGGGGUGAGGCAGGGGGCAGGACAGACGGUCGGACGUGGCUCCUGUGGGUGUUUCUCUGGCAGUGUCUUAGCUGGUUGUUGUGAGGAGUGAGAACGAAGCAAUCAGCAAGUAUACUGCCGCAGAAAUUCUUCGCAAUAAGAGGCCCAGGGAUUGCAGUCAGCAUGGGGAGAAAUGUGCAUCAGAAACGUAGCGAACACGGAUCCUACCGCUGCUGUAAGUUUUUGCUUAUGUGUGCUGACGCUAGAAGUUAACAAGAGCCGAGGAGCUGAUACAGAAUUAACUGAAGAUACUGUUGAUCAACCAACAGCAUGGCCUUUCUGUUGACAGCCUCUACAAUAUUUACAAUCGGAUCAGAGCAUCAAACGUCUUCACCGUGUGUUGUACAUAUAAGAUCCUCUGCUGCCAUCUUGUGACUAAAAGCAACUUCCCAGCAUGCUUCUGUCCAUACUAAACACUGCAGCAAUUUGUGAAACCUACACUGUAUUUUAUUUUUCAGUCUAAAAUCUCUUUGAUUCAGAAAACGGGCCUUGGCUCACGAUCAUAUCCGACUCCUUACGUUUCGGUUGCAAAUGCACGUUGUUUUUGUCACCCAAUCUAAUUUUGCCUCAUGAAUUAUAAGUAGGUUUUUUUCCCCCGGAUGCUAACACAUUAAUAGUGAAUAUAGUUGAUUCCUAAUUUAUCAGUUGCUGCCUAAUAAUUUCUUCAUGUCAUAAAUUAUAACUGUAAAAAAAAAAAAGGGUUAAAUAAAAGUUACAUAAAGACUGAUUCA